CCAGGUCAGAGGUUGUUGUAAAGCCCCAAGGUUCAAGCCCUACCCACUUCCGGGUCAGGACCACGGUCUAACUUCCUGGGGUGAUUCCAAGGUGUAGCCCCACUGUCCUGAAUCUUCAUCACCUGGGGCACCCACUGAGUUCUGGAAGCUGUGUCCUCCUCAACAUCCACUGCAUUUGGCGCUGCAUUUCAGUGAGAGCCCAGCAUUUCCUAGUCCUAUUCCGAGGUUUGCUUCCAUUGCCUGAAGGAGCAGAACUUCACCUCGUGAGACACCAGCAGCAUCAUUCUAGAUCCAGAGAGCAGGUUCCGAAGAGUCCUCAGUGAGAGAACCAGCAGACAGACAGCAGCUAGGGGAACUGGCCCUCCCUCCGGCCAGUCUGCGGAGGCUCAUAGCCUCACUUGUACCUACACUCUCUGCUUGUUUCACCAAACAAGGAAAACACCAGAACUACCUUAAUGAUGGACUCACGGGAGAUGCUUCGAACAGUAGCGAACUAUCUUGUCUAACCUCAACUGCUAAUGGAACCAGAGUGGAGGUACCCACAGCUGGAGCCAGGGGCCGGCUGGGGAGCAGAGUCCCUGACAGGUGGCAGCCCUUUCCUGGAGAAGAGAUGGAGAUGCAGCUUUCAGGGACGCCUGUCUCUUAGUCCCCCAGCAAAGGAAAUGUUUGUUGACCUCCACCUUAGAGUAGUGGACGCAUAGGCAAAGAAUGGCUGCAUAGGAGAGGACUGGACCCAGUAAGACGGGAAAGGAUCAUCACGAACAGGGAGCCCCAUGCCGCAGCCUGGAGGAAGACAGCUGGCCCAGCAGACAGCGGGAUGGGAAAACACAAGGAACGCUGUGACAACAAACAACUGCCUAUGUGAACACAGAGUCUGGCUUUGGGGAGAGCUCGGCAACCCAGCCUCUGAGCCCAACCCCCUCAUUCUCCCUCUGCUCAGGACGACGACUUUACACCCUCCCGCCUCUCUUCAGACCCAGGAAGCCUCUGUUCACACUUUCAGCUGGUGACCUUUUCUCCCCCUGGGGAAAUCGAGGCCAUCACCAGCGAACCUGCGCACACUCCCACCACCACCGCAGGCUGUCCCCUGCCUGCCGCCGCUCUGGGGCCAAACUGUCCUCUGUCCUUGCCUAGAACACCCCUAUUGCCUGGGGAUUUGACUCCACCCACCCCCUUUCCUACUCAUCCCGCACAGUUCUCUCAACUGACUUUCCUCACUCCUGCAUUGUCCGUUUCUUCCUCUCCGUGAGACUGAUCUCGAUGCUUCCCAUGGGGUGCGCCCCUCCUCCCGUGCUCAGGGCAGCCGUUGGUGUUGCCUUGCAGCGCCACCUACCCUGCUCCGUCAGGGCACGUGGAUUUGGAAAGGUGUGACUCUCGUGUGGCCUCCCUCCUCUUCUGUUCGCUCCCCCCUUUUACUCCUCCUCGGUCUUGUGCGCUGUUGCCUCAAAACCAGUCUUGUCGCCAGUGAGCUACUUAUUAAAUCUGCUGCCAACGACUGCCCCUUGAUUUACCUGACCUCCUAGCAGCCGCUGGCCUGGGAGAGUGCCUGCCGUGGGGAUGCCACAGAAGACAUUGCCUGAUCAAAAGCAACUGCCUAAGGAAGUGUUUCCCACUGUUUGACAGCUGAGGCACAGAGGCCGUAUAACAAUGAGAAACAUAAAAUAACGGAAGCAGGAAAGCCCAGUGUAAUGAAGAUCCGGGAGCCACAGAACCUGUACCAAUUCCAAUGCUUCUGUUUUCUAACUACAUGACACUGGGCAGUGACUUCACCUCGCCAUACCUGCUUGCUUACCUGGAAACUGGAAAUAAGAACCUAACUCUUAGCAUUGUUAUAAACCCAGUAACCUGUCAAAGUCAGAACAGUGGCUAGGGCCCAGCACCGGCUCAGAGAAGGACGACUGUUCUACCGUUCAUAUCCUUUUCAGCAUUCCAAUUUCAAUUAGCUGUAUUAAUACUUUUUCACACAUCACUGUCUAAACCAUUUAGACUUCCAAAAUUAGAGUCUUAUAUAUGUUGCAAAAUUGCUAAUACAUUGGAUCUGAACUGAAGACCAACAAAUAGCAUUUAUAUUAUUAUAUGCCCUGCAGAAUCAGGUCGUGCAAGUAAACCACGGCAGAAAGGAAUAUAGCACGAUUUCAUUAAAGCCAGGGAGGGCAUCAU